GAUGAACGCUGGCGGCGUGCCUAAUACAUGCAAGUCGAGCGAACGGACGAGAAGCUUGCUUCUCUGAUGUUAGCGGCGGACGGGUGAGUAACACGUGGAUAACCUACCUAUAAGACUGGGAUAACUUCGGGAAACCGGAGCUAAUACCGGAUAAUAUUUUGAACCGCAUUGUUCAAAAGUUAAAGACGGUCUUGCUGUCACUUAUAGAUGGAUCCGCGCUGCAUUAGCUAGUUGGUAAGGUAACGGCUUACCAAGGCAACGAUGCAUAUCCGACCUGAGAGGGUGAUCGGACACACUGGAACUGAGACACGGUCCAGACUCCUACGGGAGGCAGCAGUAGGGAAUCUUACGCAAUGGGCGAAAGCAUGACGGAGCAACGCCGCGUGAGUGAUGAAGGUCUUCGGAUCGUAAAACUCUGUUAUUAGGGAAGAAAAUAUGUGUAAGUAACUGUGAACAGCUUGACGGUACCUAAUCAGAAAGCCACGGCUAACUACGUG
rnacentral:rRNA from 1 species